AGUACAGACACGACGCCGUACGUGCCUUUUCAUAUUUCCGAGAUCCUCUCUGACCCUCCAAUUUCCCUCGAAUCACGAGCACCACCGGCACCCGAAUUUUUUAAAAUUAUCGCUGCACACGUCCUUCUCUCGUAUGUUCAUUCUCCUUCCUCUUCUUUUUCUCUUUUCUUACGUCGGAUAUCAUCUAAUUACGAAAUUCAUUAUGUUUUUCUCGACUUAUUUUCCCUCGAAUAAUCCUGACAUUUUUUCAUCUUCAACCUUUCUCUUUCCCCCAUUUGCAUAGAACGGAAGAGCCCGCGAAUUAACGCUGCGCUCGAAAUUGUUGCGAAGCGUAUCCCCUAAUUAAUGGUAUUUCUUUCGUUAACCGGCUGGUGAAGUCAGCCAGACGCAGCCAAACCCUCGUUUUAUCAGCGUAACCUCCACGAACUCUGCCGAAUCCUCUGCGACUCCUCCUCCCGUGCCUAACCUAAACUCUAAAGGACGCAUAUUCUAAUUAACAAGCGACUUCCCACCCGUUCAAUUUCCAUCAAAUUAACACCCAUCAUCAUCGCCAUCGCCGUCGUCGUCAUCGUCGAACCCAUCCAAUUCUCGCGGGAUACUCGACAGGGAGGGCAGGGUGUGCAAAGGAGAAGCGCAUCGAUAAAUCGCAGAUGGAGAGAAAGAGCGUGCGAGAGAGAAGAGAGAAGCAGUGUAAGAGAGGAAAAGGUGUGUGUGUGUGUGUGUGUGUGUGUGUGUGUGUGAAUGCGAGAGUGAGAGAGCGAAUGGCGCGAACAGCGCGCGAGUGGUGGCGAGUGCCGCGAGUAGCAGCGAUGUGGGUCAACCGCGAGGCGACCGCGAGAGGCCCCGAGGGUCGCCGAGAAUCGGCGAGAACGACCGAACGGCAAUCACGUUGCGCGCAUCUGGGUCACCGGCGUACUGGCGCAUGCGCAGUUCCCUCCCUCGGUCGUUCACCGUUGACCAAGUUACUAACCUUCCGACACCCGGUCGCCAGUUAGCUUCUCGUAUUGACCGCUGGAAAAACGUUGACUUUUCCCGCAUGAGAAACCCGUCGGAGCUUUUCGUUGGCUCGAGCAGAAGCACAAGGGAAGCCGCGAGAACGCUGAUCGCCGCGGCGACGUAGCCGCGAUUGGCUCUUCUCGCCGGCUCAUCGUCCGCGAUUUCGAGCUGGCCGCGGCCGAUUUUUCGCCAUCUACGGCGCAGCCUUCGACCUCGAGAUGUACGUAAAGAGGCAUCGAGCGAGAAACGGCGUUUCCCUCUUCUUUCUCUCCCGCCUUCUUUCUCCCCUCGUCGAGCCGACCACACCGAAUUGGCGAGUAGCGGCGCGAAGGCAAAGGGAACGAAACUGAAACAGAUCGGACUACGCCGAGAUUUUCUGCCUCGUUUCAUGGGGAACGAUACGUGGAACGUGUUCUCGAUGAGAUUAGAG